UUAGAAAAUUUUAUUUAGAAAUUUUAUUUUAUACAAUAAUCUCAAGAAGGCGAAGAAAUCGUUCUUCUCUCUCUCCUUUCCUCUCUCUCGAUUGCUUCUUGAUGUCUUCUUUCUUCUCUUUCUCUGGCUUCUCGUUCCCGUUUUGUCCUCUCGCUCUUGUCUUUCUCUUUCUCUACGUUCCUCCCUCUCCUCCAUUUCCCGCCAUCGUCUCUCCUCCCUCUCUGUUGCUUCUCGCACUCUCUCAGCCUCCCUCUCCUCCAUCUCCCGGAUUAGGUCCUCAAAGUUUUUUCUUUUUGUCCCAGUUCUCUCUGGCUCUGGG